UACGUAGGGUGCAAGCGUUGUCCGGAAUUAUUGGGCGUAAAGAGCGUGUAGGCGGCCCGAUUAGUCCGCUGUGAAAGCCCAGGGCUCAACCCUGGAAUGCCGGUGGAUACUGUCGGGCUAGAGUCCGGAAGGGGCGAGUGGAAUUCCUGGUGUAGCGGUGAAAUGCGCAGAUAUCAGGAGGAACACCAAUGGCGAAGGCAGCUCGCUGGGACGUGACUGACGCUGAGACGCGAAAGCGUGGGGAGCAAACAGG
rnacentral:rRNA from 1 species